AGUGAACGCUGGCGGUAGGCCUAACACAUGCAAGUCGAACGGCAGCACAGUAAGAGCUUGCUCUUACGGGUGGCGAGUGGCGGACGGGUGAGGAAUACAUCGGAAUCUACUUUUUCGUGGGGGAUAACGUAGGGAAACUUACGCUAAUACCGCAUACGACCUACGGGUGAAAGCAGGGGAUCUUCGGACCUUGCGCGAUUGAAUGAGCCGAUGUCGGAUUAGCUAGUUGGCGGGGUAAAGGCCCACCAAGGCGACGAUCCAUAGCUGGUCUGAGAGGAUGAUCAGCCACACUGGAACUGAGACACGGUCCAGACUCCUACGGGAGGCAGCAGUGGGGAAUAUUGGACAAUGGGCGCAAGCCUGAUCCAGCCAUACCGCGUGGGUGAAGAAGGCCUUCGGGUUGUAAAGCCCUUUUGUUGGGAAAGAAAAGAAGCAGGUUAAUACCCCGCUGUUCUGACGGUACCCAAAGAAUAAGCACCGGCUAACUUCGU
rnacentral:rRNA from 1 species